GUAGUUGUCUACACCAUCGAGUUCCAGAAAAGAGGUCUACCUCAUGCACAUAUACUAUUAUUUUUGGAUCCAGAUGACAGGGAUCCUAGCCCCCAAAAUAUUGACCAGAUCAUAUCAGCAGAGGUGCCAGACAAGGAUGUUGAUCCAGAAGGUUACAUGGCAGUUGAAAAUUUCAUGAUGCAUGGACCAUGUGGCCAGGCAUGCUACAAGUCACCAUGCAUGAUCAAUGGGAAGUGCUCAAAACAUUUCCCUAAGAUGUUCUGCGAGGAAACAAGCAUCGAUGAAGAAGGAUUCCCAAUAUACAGAAGAAGAAAUAAUGGCAGGACAGUAGAAAAAGGAGUACAACUAGAUAGCAGGUAUGUUGUUCCAUACAACAGGGACCUGAUAGUCAAUUACCAGGCCCACAUAAACGUGGAAUGGUGUAAUAAAUCAUGAUCCAUAAAGUAUUUGUUCAAGUACAUCCACAAAGGAGAGGAUAGAGCAACUGUAGUUUUGGGUGGAGGAAAUAACUAUGACGAGAUACAAAUGUACCUUAAUGCACGAUACCUAUCCGCAGGUGAAGCAUCUUGGCGUAUCUUUGGAUUUGAACUUCAGCACCGGUAGCUUUCUGUACAGAGACUGCAGUUCCAUCUUCAAGGUGAGCAAAUUGUCGUGUUCCCAGACUCAACUGAUAUUGAGAAAAUUGUACAUAGACCUGGCAUAGAGGAAACAAUUUUCACUGAAUGGAUGACCGCUAAUCAAUUGUAUGAGGAGGCCCGUAAUCUGACAUAUGCAGAAUUCCCCACUAAGUGGACGUGGCAUGCAAAGGAGAAAAGAUGGAAACCAAGGAAAGGCGGGAAACGGUCUAUUGGGAGGAUCUACUAUGCCCAUCCAGCAAGUGGUGAGAAAUAUUACCUAAGAAUUCUGGUAAAUAUUGUCAAAGGUUGUAAAUCAUAUGAGGACAUCAGAAAAGUAAAUGGUAUUGUACACCCAACCUAUAAAUCAACAUGUUAUGCCCUGGGAUUACUCAAAGAUGACCAAGAGUGGGAUGAUUGUAUUAAGGAAGCAUCACACUGGGCUUCUGCACAACAAAUGUGACAACUUUUUUGCACAAUACUCAUUUUUUGUGAGGUCACAGAUCCAGGGAAACUAUGGGAAUCUACAUGGGAAUUACUCUCAGAUGACAUUCAGCGACGUCAGAAGAAAGAACUUCAUCUUAAUCCUGAACAAAUACAAAAUCUCACACUUAUAGAAAUAGAGAUGUUGCUAAGGAGAGGUGGAAAGUCAUUAAAGGAUUAUGAAGGAAUUCCAUUACCAGAUAGCAACUCACUACAAGGUCUGCAAAAUAGGUUAGUAAGUGAAGAGCUUAACUAUGACAGAGAUUCUCUACAAAUAGAGAAAGCGGAACUACUUGCAAAGUUAAAUCCAAAAUAGAAACAAGCUUUUGAUGCAAUAGUUCAAUCUGUAAAUAGCAGACUAGGAAAAUUGAUAUUUGUCAAUGGAUAUGGUGGAACAGGAAAAACAUUUCUUUGGAAGGCAAUCAUGACAUCACUAUGAUCUGAAGGAAAAAUAGUUUUAGUUGUAGCAUCCAGUGCAAUAGCAGCACUUCUUAUACCCGGGGGAAGAACUGCACAUUCAAGAUUUCACAUCCCAUUAAACAUCACUAAUGAGUCCACAUGUGACAUCAAGCAAGGAUCCUAUCUUGCAGACCUGCUAAAGAAAACAUCCUUAAUUAUAUGGGAUAAAGCACCUAUGGCAAACAAACAUUGCUUUGAAGCAUUGGACAGGAGCUUGAGAGACAUCCUAAGGUUCACAAAUGAAAGUAGUGCAGAUAAACCAUUUGGUGGGAUGACGGUAGUGAUGGGAGGUGACUUCAGACAAAUUCUUCCAGUAAUACCGAAAGGGCGAAGAUCUCACAUUGUAGAUGCAUCCUUAAAACGUUCCUACUUAUGGAACCACUUUGAGGAAUUCAAGCUCACUGAGAACAUGCGCAUUUCUGCACUAACAGAUACUCCAGAAGAACAAAAGAAGACCGCAGAUUUUGCAGACUGGAUUCUAAAUAUUGGAGAUGGAUUAGUUGGAAAUAAAGAAGAAAAGGCAUGGGUAAAUAUACCAGAGGACUUACUACUGCAAAAAGGAGAGAACCAAUUAGAAACAAUCAUCAAUAGCACCUAUCCAAACCUAUGGACGAACUACAUGAACCGAACAUACUUAGAAGAGAGAGCCAUCUUAUGUCCAAGAAAUGAGAUGGUCGAUGAGGUAAAUUCUUACAUAAUGGGUAGAAUAGAAGGCGAGGAGGUAACUUAUCGAAGUUCAGAUACAGUGUGCAAAGCAAUGUCAAAUUCAGAAGAUGGAGAACGUUUGUACCCAACAGAAUUCCUGAAUAGCUUGAAGUGCCCUGGAAUACCAGAUCACGAAAUACGGCUGAAAGUUGGACUGCCAGUUAUGCUGCUACGGAAUAUCAACCAAAGCGAGGGCUUAUAAAAUGGUACGAGACUAACUAUAACACAACUAGGUAAAUGGUUCAUAGAAGCUCAGAUAAUAACAGGGACAAAUAUUGGAAACAAGGUAUAUAUUCCAAGGAUUAUUAUGUCACCAAGUGACUCAAAAUGGUUGUUUGUGUUGAAAAGGAGGCAGUACCCAAUAUCAGUUUGUUUUGCGAUGACGAUAAAUAAGAGUCAAGGGCAGUCUCUAAAACAUGUGGGGCUAUAUUUACCAAAGCAGGUGUUCACACAUGUCCAACUCUAUGUUGCGGCAUCAAGAUUCACAAGUAGAGAUGGACUUAAAGUUCUAAUUUCAGAUGAAGAAUCUAAGGAAAAUAAUUCAGAAAAAAAUAUUGUGUACAAGGAGAUCCUUUAG
rnacentral:rRNA from 1 species